AUUGAACGCUGGCGGCAUGCUUUACAAAUGCAAGUCGAACGAGUGGCGGACGGGUGAGUAACGCAUCGGAACGUGCCGAGUAAUGGGGGAUAACUAUCCGAAAGGACAGCUAAUACCGCAUAUUAUUCGAGCGGCCGAUGUGGUAUUAGCUGGUUGGCGGGGUAAAGGCCCACCAAGGCGACGAUCAGUAGCGGGUCUGAGAGGAUGAUCAGCCACACUGGGACUGAGACACGGCCCAGACUCCUACGGGAGGCAGCAGUGGGGAAUUUUGGACAAUGGGCGCAAGCCUGAUCCAGCCAUGCCGCGUGUCUGAAGAAGGCCUUCGGGUUGUAAAGGACUUUUGUCAGGGAAGCGGUACCUGAAGAAUAAGCACCGGCUAACUACGUGCCAGCAGCCGCGGUAAUAC
rnacentral:rRNA from 1 species